CUUCUGGUUACGUGUAUCUUUCUGUAUCUACUUACAGUCCUUAGAAGGAAGAAAUUGGUUUGAGGAUGCAUCUCACAGGAGUUACAGUCAGAGGAAAUGGCCCCACUCCGAUCUAGGCUCGGAAAAGAAAUAGGAGAAUACCUGAGACUUUGGUACUAUUUUUGUACACCCUGCCCAGCAUAAUAAUAAAAAGUUUGUUAACCUGUAA